rnacentral:lncRNA from 1 species
AAUAUAUAUCCAACGGAAGUCCAUAGAUGCGUACAUAUGCAACAAUAGUUCGCAAAUGAAAGGACCAUAAGUUCCAAGUCCACACAUGCGUACAUAUCCAACAAGGUUCAUGAGUUCCAAGUUUACACAAAGCAUUGUUCCAGGUUCACAAUCAAAAGCGUGAGUUCCAAGUUCACACAAAGCAUUGUUCCAGGUUCACAAACAGAAGCACAAUGACAACUACCUCGAGUGAUCAUUGUUGCAAGGAGGUCGAAGCCCUAGUGGGUGUCACUGGGCUUGCUUAUCCCGACUUAGAACACUUCAAAAGCAUGAGACAGUAAGAUGGUAAGAUGCAUGAUAUUUAAGCAUGAUGGUAAGAUGCAUAAUUAAAAAGUUGGAACACUUACAAAGCUGAAAGUAGGAAGAGGCGGAAGAGGAGG